GACGGGAGGGGCAAGCGUUAUUCGGAAUGACUGGGCGUAAAGGGCGUGUAGGUGGCAAUUGAAGUUAUAAUUGAAAAACUAUGGCAUAACCAUUUAAACGAUUAUAAAACCAAUAAUAUAUGCUAAAGAGUUCGAUAGAGGAUAGCGGAAUUUCUAGAGUUAACGAUGAAAUGUUGAGAUACUAGAAAGGACACCAAUGGCGAUUGCAGCUAUCUGGAUCGGUACUGACACUAAGGCGCGAAAGCACGGGGAGCAAACAGG
rnacentral:rRNA from 1 species